UUUGCGUCGAAGGUAUACCGGUAAGGAGUGCUGGAGCGAAUAGAAGUGAGCAUGCAGGCAUGAGUAGCGAUAAUUAAUGUGAGAAUCAUUAACGCCGUAAACCCAAGGUUUCCUACGCGAUGCUCGUCAUCGUAGGGUUAGUCGGGUCCUAAGUCGAGUCCGAAAGGGGUAGACGAUGGCAAAUUGGUUAAUAUUCCAAUACCAACAUUAGUGUGCGAUGGAAGGACGCUUAGGGCUAAGGGGGCUAGCGGAUGGAAGUGCUAGUCUAAGGUCGUAGGAGGUUAUACAGGCAAAUCCGUAUAACAAUACUCCGAGAACUGAAAGGCUUUUUGAAGUCUUCGGAUGGAUAGAAGAACCCCUGAUGCCGUCGAGCCAAGAAAAGUUUCUAAGUUUAGCUAAUGUUGCCCGUACCGUAAACCGACACAGGUGGGUGGGAUGAGUAUUCUAAGGCGCGUGGAAGAACUCUCUUUAAGGAACUCUGCAAAAUAGCACCGUAUCUUCGGUAUAAGGUGUGGUUAGCUUUGU
rnacentral:rRNA from 1 species